rnacentral:rRNA from 1 species
UACAGAGGUCUCAAGCGUUGUUCGGAUUCAUUGGGCGUAAAGGGUGUGUAGGUGCGGCGCGUAAGUCGGGUGUGAAAUCUCGGAGCUUAACUCCGAAACUGCAUUCGAUACUGCGGUGCUUGAGGACUGGAGAGGAGACUGGAAUUCAUGGUGUAGCAGUGAAAUGCGUAGAGAUCAUGAGGAAGACCAGUGGCGAAGGCGGGUCUCUGGACAGUUCCUGACACUGAGGCACGAAGGCCAGGGGAGCAAACGGG